CCCUUCUGCAUUAACAGAACUUUGCUAUAAUUGUGUGGUCCAGACUUUGUUUCAUACAAUAAUGCUAGCAGAGUAUAGGGUGGAAGGAGAUUAUUACCCACUGCACUGAAAAUGAGAUGUGGUCGAACCUCUUUCUUAAUGUUCGUUGGCCACUGUCUCAAGGUGCAGUGCCACAUGU
ensembl:snoRNA